UUUGUAAAGCAGGAGGCGAGUUCUUCCAUAAACCCCCAGCAGCGGGGUUCUUGUGCGUUCCUGUUCUGAAAACAUCCGAAAUUGUGUCUUCCUGUGUGGUUUGACAUCUUCAACCUCAUUAUUCUUCUAUACGGCAUAGUCAAUGUGUUGCUGGACGUGUCGGAGCAGAUUGGACCUUUAUGGGGCCCACAGCACACAGCACCACUUUGAAAGAGGAGAGUUUCAUGUCUCAGUUUCUCUCCUCCAAAACCAUGAGAAGAUUCAGCUCUGGAGGCCCUCAACAACAUGAAUCACAGGCACAGUCUUGUGUCUGCAAUUUGACUAAAUAGUCCUUCUUUCAAACAAAAGCUACCACGGAAAUUCUGUUGUUUAAAAGCUUAAUCACUUAUGUGGAAAAAUCCAUGUGUAAUGUUGGGCAAAUUACAAAAGCAAGUAAAGUACGGGUUUGAAUUGUGAAGACAUUUCUAUGGCCAAGCAGCAACACAUUACCGUAAUUCGGUCUGCAGUAGGAUUUGGGUUGUCUUUUUUUGCCUUACAAAAAUAUAUCCAUUUUCUGAAUGGUUUGCCUGGGCUUUUCACUGCUGUGCUGGAAAGAAAGGGAAAAAAGGAGUGAUAAGCAUAUCUCAACUUGGAUAGGGGCAAUUAUUUAUCUCUCAGGCCAGGGCCAGAGCAAAGGCUAAAGCUCAGAAGAACAAGUUACCCUGCAGUUACACAAACACAGAGCAGAGGAUUUGGUGCUCUCUCCCACAGAUAAGCACAGUUUCUCCGUUGUCCGAUGUUUUGAACAGAUUUUUGCAAGUGUGUAGAGUAAAAAUAAAUCACAUUUAAAUGAGAAAGGACACAUUUGUAUUUGUUUUGACCAGAUGUAAGAACAAACUGUGUGAGGUACUAGAGAACGAGAAGACAAACAUUUAGAAACAUUCUCUCAAAUUUUAAUGUGGAAUUCAAACAAAUGGGGCAGAGGCAUAAUGAGGUAUAGAUGCACUAACACUUUUUCACCAUAUAAGUGGUUUUUGUUUUCCUUCCCGUAUUCACUCUUUUAUGAGCCCAGCACAGAGAACCUCAUGAAAAUCAAAAAAUCGUAAGGCCAUUUUUCCUUCAAGCUCUGAAAAAUGUGCAGUAAUAAUAUCCCCCAUUAGAAGCUGGUGAUGUUUGAAGUCAUAUAUUUAAACUUGCUGUAGGGAAGGCGUUUCAGGUUAAAAGAAGGAAAGAGGGACCGGCCUUGGAAGAUUUUGUGCUCUGCAGUCAUCUGCUCUGAUGCUAAUUUUCUUUUGAGUUAUUAUCAUUGAUGCGCUUUUCAUUCUACCUGGGCCUGGAUGAGAGAUGCGUGUAAAAUGGGUGAAGAUAAGGAAUGCAAAAACCUUGUGUCCUGCAGAAGCUGGCAGCUCUGACCUGCUGUAUCUUGCUCCAGUGAUGUUGGGCAUUUGAGGAUGCCUGCACUGUAUGGCACAAACAUUAAAAAGUUCAGGAGGUUGCCUCCUAAAUUGCUUUUUGCUGGCCAAAACCUGUGUUAUGAUGUUCUGUUCACUAGGUGCAAAUAUUUAACCUAUUUUCAUUUUGCUGAUGGUGAAAGUGUUGGAGUAGGAAACAAAGUCAAUUUCUUCUUUUUAUGAUGCAUGGUAGUUUGUAUCUCUGCCCUUUUCAGUGUAUAUUUUGCUCCCAUUGUGUGUUUAAUUAAAGUAAGGGUUCUUUUUGUAAACCUUUCAUAAACAGAUUGCCCCAAUUUCCCAUGUAG